UUCUUCGACAGAUUGUAUCGUGUUGUAACCUCUUCCGCAACAGAGAGUUUCACAUCCAUCUUCACCUUGUCUCCCAUGUGUCCCAAAGGAGCCUGUCAUUGGUUCCGCUUCACAGUAGGAAGGAGAUGGUUCCAGGAAAACCAGUUCAGAUUUUCUUGGUUGCCUGCCAACGCCUGCGUUCUGUCUUGGCCUGGAGAAUAUAAAAUCUUAUGGGCUACUAGGACAUUUUCUUCUGUGCCUGAUACACACCGACCAUAUGAGCAAGUACUAUAUGCACAGCCAAGAUUCGACCGCACAGAUUAAGAUAUAUACUAGGAUAACACUACUCAAACAGUAGUAAAAUUAGGCGGAGGGUGGGGUGUUACCAGUCUCGCGCGGUGAUACUUCUCCCUCAGCGCAGC